AGAACUGGAGACCAUCACAAAUUAAUAAUUCAAAAGCCAUUUAACGGGCUUUUGAAUUAACCUUAUACCUUUUAACCAUUCAUUUGCUCAACAGAUGUGAUUGCAUGCCUACUAUGUGGCCCGUCCUAGAGACACUGGAAGCAAAAUGCAGGCAGAGUCCCUGCUCUGUGGCGGGCGCAGGCUCCGGUGUGGGGACACAGGACAGAAGCCUGGCCAUGUCAGGGGGCGACAAGUCCGGUGGUGGGAACAGAGCAGCUAGAGUAGCUGAGGGAAGGGGGUGCUCUUUGGCAUAAGGGGAGAAGUUUGAGCAAGACCUAAAGGAGGUGAGGGAGCCGCGUGGAGGCCCGGGGAGGAAAAUGGGCUGGGACGAGGGCCAGCCAGUGCGAAGGACUGAAGCAGACGUAUGCGUGGUGAGUUCAAGCAACAAAGUGGACGCGGCCGUCACCAAAUGAAUGACGCGAAGGGAUGUGGCCACGAGGUCCGCUGGGCGGCCUGGACACGUGGCUUCACGAGGUCCGCUGGGUGGCCUGGACACCGUGGCUUCGCCCUGACACACACAGGCGAGCUCGGAGCACGGUGUUGUGACCCGGCUUACUUGCGAGACGGUCACUUCGGCCACUCUGUGGACGAGCGGCGGGAGGGGGCGACACUGGAAGUUGUUGUCUGGUGGAAGGUCUUCAGCGACAGUCGGAGGUGGAGAUGGGGUCUCGGUCUAGGGAGGAAGUGACAGAAAGUGGUCAGGUUCUCGAUUGAUUUUGCAGGUAGAAUUGAGAGGAUUUUCAGGGAUGGGUUGGGGGGCUCCGAAAUUUCAUUUGCUGAGGUUUUAUUUCGAAGUCUGUACUUUUAAAAAUUAUAUGCACAAAGGAAAAAUAUUCCCUGUAAUCUCUUCAAGUUUGCUGUAGUGAUAGAGCCCAUGUUUCCCACAUGGCGUUUCGGAAUGUUGAUCAAUUGUGUUCUAAAAAAUAGGCCACUUGAUCAUAAAGACAACUGCCUCAUUGACCGAUCACAAUAAGCUGAUAAGAAUUGGGAUUAAGUCCUUUGAUUCCUACGUACAUUUUCUUCGUGAUUUGGGAAAAUUGCAUCUGCCAGCCAGUAUAUGCAGGGGUGAGAGCACGGUGUAGGGUUAACAGAGCGGGCUCUAAGUUCAAACAUCUACUUUGCCACAUGCUGACUAUAACCUUGGACACGUUACUUAGCCCUCAUCAGUAAAGAAGGGAUAACAAUAGUACUUACCUCACGGGUGAUUGAGGUAAUACCCAUAAAACACUUAGAACAGUGGCUGGUGUAUAAAAAAAAAA